AUCGAACGCUGGCGGCAGGCCUAACACAUGCAAGUCGAACGAGUGGCGGACGGGUGAGUAAUGUCUGGGAAACUGCCUGAUGGAGGGGGAUAACUACUGGAAACGGUAGCUAAUACCGCAUACCAUCAGAUGUGCCCAGGUGGGAUUAGCUUGUUGGUGGGGUAACGGCUCACCAAGGCGACGACCCCUAGCUGGUCUGAGAGGAUGACCAGCCACCCGGGAACUGAGGCACGGUCCAGACUCCGACGGGAGGCAGCAGUGGGGAAUAUUGCACAAUGGGCGCAAGCCGGAUGCAGCCAUGCCGCGUGUAUGAAGAAGUCCUUCGGGUUAUAAAGUACUUUCAGCGGGGAGGCGUUACCCGCAGAAGAAGCACCGGCUAACUCCGUGCCAGCCGCCGCGGUAAUUC
rnacentral:rRNA from 1 species